CGCACGAGCGCACCCUNGUCCUUAGNUUGCCAGCAUUCAGUUGGGCACUCUAAGGAGACUGCCGGUGACAAACCGGAGGAAGGUGGGGACGACGCUCAAGUCAUCAUGGCCCUUACGUGUAGGGCUACACACGUGCUACAAUGGCAUUUACAGAGGGAAGCGAGACAGUGAUGUGGAGCGGACCCCUUAAAGAAUGUCGUAGUCCGGAUUGGAGUCUGCAACUCGACUCCAUGAAGUCGGAAUCGCUAGUAAUCGCAAGUCAGAAUAUUGCGGUGAAUACGUUCCCGGGCCUUGUACACACCGCCCGUCACACCAUGGGAGUGGGAUGCAAAAGAAGUAGUUAGUUUAACCUUCGGGAGAACGAUUACCACUUUGUGUUUCAUGACUGGGGUGAAGUCGUAACAAGGUAACCCUAGGGGAACCUGGGGUUGGAUCACCUCCUU
rnacentral:rRNA from 1 species